AUUGAACGCUGGCGGCAGGCUUAACACAUGCAAGUCGAACGGUAGCAGGAGAAAGCUUGCUUUCUUGCUGACGAGUGGCGGACGGGUGAGUAAUGCUUGGGAAUCUGGCUUAUGGAGGGGGAUAACUACGGGAAACUGUAGCUAAUACCGCGUAAUAUCUUCGGAUUAAAGAAUGGGACUUUUAGCCAUUCGCCAUAAGAUGAGCCCAAGUGGGAUUAGGUAGUUGGUGGGGUAAAGGCCUACCAAGCCGACGAUCUCUAGCUGGUCUGAGAGGAUGACCAGCCACACUAGAACUGAGACACGGUCCAGACUCCUACGGGAGGCAGCAGUCGGGAAUAUUGCGAAAUGCGCGCAAGCCUGACGCAGCCAUGCCGCGUGAAUGAAGAAGGCCUUCGGGUUGUAGAGUUCUUUCGGGGGUGAGGAAGGCUAAUCUGUUACUAGCAUAUUAGAUUGACGUUAGCCACAGAAGAAGCACCGGCUAACUUCGUG
rnacentral:rRNA from 1 species